UACGUAGGGGGCGAGCGUUAUCCGGAUUCAUUGGGCGUAAAGGGCGCGCAGGCGGCGCCGGGCAGUGGCGCGUGGAAUCUCCCCGCUCACCGGGGAGGGGUCGCGCCAGACGACGGCGCUUGGGGCGGGCAGAGGCGUGCGGAACGGGCGGAGUAGGGGUGAAAUCCGUAGAGACCGUCCGGAACACCGGUGGCGAAGGCGGCACGCUGGGCCUGUGAGUCGCAAGACUCUUUACCCGACGCUCGGGCGCGAAAGCGUGGGGAGCGAACGGA
rnacentral:rRNA from 1 species